rnacentral:misc_RNA from 1 species
UCCGAGUUGACCCCGGCAGUCUCCUAUGAGUCCCCGACAUUACUCGCUGGCAACAUAGGACGAGGGUUGCGCUCGUUGCGGGACUUAACCCAACAUCUCACGACACGAGCUGACGACAACCAUGCACCACCUGUACAGGACCCUUGCGGACCCGACAUCUCUGCCGGAUUUCCCUGUAUGUCAAGCCUUGGUAAGGUUCUUCGCGUUGCGUCGAAUUAAGCCACAUGCUCCGCCGCUUGUGCGGGCCCCCGUCAAUUCCUUUGAGUUUUAGCCUUGCGGCCGUACUCCCCAGGCGGGGCGCUUAAUGCGUUAGCUGCGGCACGGAGAACGUGGAAGGUUCCCCACACCUAGCGCCCAACGUUUACGGCGUGGACUAC